AAUAGAUACCCGGGUAGUCCACGCCGUAAACGGUGGGCACUAGGUGUGGGCGACAUUCCACGUCGUCCGUGCCGCAGCUAACGCAUUAAGUGCCCCGCCUGGGGAGUACGGCCGCAAGGCUAAAACUCAAAGGAAUUGACGGGGACCCGCACAAGCGGCGGAGCAUGUGGCUUAAUUCGACGCAACGCGAAGAACCUUACCAAGGCUUGACAUACACCGGAAACGUCCAGAGAUGGGCGCCCCCUUGUGGUCGGUGUACAGGUGGUGCAUGGCUGUCGUCAGCUCGUGUCGUGAGAUGUUGGGUUAAGUCCCGCAACGAGCGCAACCCUUGUCCCGUGUUGCCAGCAGGCCCUUGUGGUGCUGGGGACUCACGGGAGACCGCCGGGGUCAACUCGGAGAAGGUGGGGACGACGUCAAGUCAUCAUGCCCCUUAUGUCUUGGGCUGCACACGUGCUACAAUGGCCGGUACAAUGAGCUGCGAUACCGCGAGGUGGAGCGAAUCUCAAAAAGCCGGUCUCAGUUCGGAUUGGGGU
rnacentral:rRNA from 1 species